UACAGACACGGCAGUUUAGAUAGGGUUUGU
rnacentral:piRNA from 1 species